rnacentral:ribozyme from 11 species
UACUUCUCUGUGUCGUCUUUCUUUCUUUCUUGUUUUCUUUUUUUCUUUCUUUCUUUCUUUC